GUGUUGGUUUCACGAACUGGAAUAAAAAAUGGUUAUCAGCGCAUGAAAGUUCGACUGUGGAAAUCGUACGGUGUAAAUGUGCUGAUUAUCAAGGACAUUGAUGUUGCUAACACUCAGGAUUGUGAAUAUCUUUUGCGAACUGCGGAAAGAGAAGGGCCAGUGGACGCGAUAUUCAAUCUUGGUGUGGUAUACAAGGGCGGCAUUCUGAAGAAUCAAACUGCUGAAACCUUUGCGGAAUCCUUUCAAUCGAAGGCUCGAGCAACUCAAACAUUGGACAAACUUACUAGAAACAUCUGCCGUAAUCUGCGGCAUUUUGUAGUUUUCUCUUCUGUUUCCUGCGGCAGAGGAAAUGUUGGACUAAGUAAUUAUGGCAUGGCUAACUCCGUCAUGGAGAGAGUGUGCGAGAAAAGGGCGAAGGAAGAAUUACCUGGGUUGGCAAUUCAAUGGGGAGCUGUGGGCGACGUUGGUUUCCUCGCAGAUAUGCAAGAGGAAGGUAAAGAAUUGACUACUGGUGGCACUUUGCAGCAAAAAAUAUCCUGCUGUCUCGACGAACUCGAUAAAUUUUUACUUCAAAGCCGGCCGAUUGUGAGCAGCAUGGUCGUAGGUGAAAAGAAAGCGGAAUCUUACGGCAGUAUGGUAGAAGCUGUUGCUAGUAUUUUAGAUAUAAAAGAUAUGAAAAUUGUAAAUCAAAAUUCGCUUUUGGCCGAAUUUGGAGUAGACUCCAUGAUGGUCAUUGAAAUCAAGCAAACUCUUGAACGAGAAUUUGAUAUUUUUUUUACUGCACAAGAAAUAAGAAAUCUUUCUUUUGCAAAACUUAUGAAAAUGUCUGGUGGAAACGUCAGAGACAAUAAUAUGCAUUCCUAACAAAAAUUCUUUUCAGAAAAAGAAAAAAAUUAUACACCAAGUAUAUAAAAGUAUCGUUUAAUCUAACUAAAAUGACCAAUGGGAUCAUAGUGAAGCAGAAACUUGGCGUGCUCAGACUGUAUGAAUUGAUAAGAUGUAUAUAAAAUGCGAGCACGCUAGCACGAAUCCUUUUUCCUUCUUUUGGAUCCCGAAUCACCUUCCGAAGUAUUGCAUGCGAUUUACUGGACACCCUGUAUAUUAUUAGAUCAUCCGUAAUCGAUAUAAUUAGUUUGUGCACAAUUAGUAAAUAUUUUAUUUUAUUGAAAGAAUCAGUUAACACUUAUAACAGGUAAAGGCAAUAAAACGUUACAAAUUAGAUAGUUCAUAUCGACUGCAGAAUAUUCAAAAUAAAAGUAUGUUUAUUAAAAA